CCUCAUGUUGGUGAACUGCAGGGCUUCCACUAGUCACUAUCUCCCUUAUCGAUAAUAGGAGUGACUGUGGAUUAAACCCAAAGAUCAUAAGUAUGACAGCCAUGGCUACAAUCCAAAAACCGUUUGUUGGCUCUUUGGACGACAUGGAUGACAUCUUUAAAGUCAACUUCAAGGCCCAACCUCCAAGUUUCUCCCAUUCUUCUUUGCAGAUUGUCUCAAGCUCCAUCAGGUUGGAUGGGGAGCGUCGGUGCACAGCCAUUUUCAGAUGUCUCCAGAGACGUUCAAUCGGGGUAAAGUCUGGGCUCUGGCUGGGCCACUCAAGGACAUUCACAGACUUGUCCUGAAGCCGCUCCUUUGUUAUCGUGGCUGUGUGCUUAGGGUCCUUUAAAGGGGAACCUUUGCCCCAGUCUGAGGUCCAGAGCGCUCUCGAGCAUCUUUUCAACCUCAUGACUUGGUUUGUGCUCUGAUAUGCACUGUCAACGGUGGGACCUCAUAUACACAGCUGUGUUCUUUUCUAAGUCGUGUCCAAUCAAUUUAAUUUACCACAAGUGGACUCCAAUCAAGCAAUAGAAACAUUUCAAGGAUGAUCAAUGGAAACGGGAUGCACUUGAGCUCAAUUUUCAGUGUCAAAGCAAAGGGUGUGAAUACUUAUGUACAUGUGAUAUCUAAUUUAAUAAUUUUUAACACGUUUGCAAUAAUUCUUUAAAAACGUUUUUGCUUUGUCAUUAUUGGGUAUUGUGUGUGGGAUAUUGAGAACAAAAAUGAAUUUAAUCCAUUUAGAAAUAAGGCUGUAACAUAACAAAAUGUGAAAAAAGUUAAGGGGUAUGAAUACUUUUCUGUGGAAACACAUACAAUAAUUUCCAGACCUGUAUAACUUUAGUAGUAGUUUAUUAGAAUAAAACACAUUGCAAAACUCCAACAUCCCAUGUAUGGCUAUACUGUAAAGUGGAACAUCAGGG